rnacentral:tRNA from 1 species
GGCCUCGUAGCUCAGCUGGUGGAGCAAAUGCGCUCAAAGCGUAAGCCGCAUCCAUGCGUGGGUUCGAAUCCCACCGAGGCUU